UACAGAGGUCUCAAGCGUUGUUCGGAUUCAUUGGGCGUAAAGGGUGUGUAGGUGGCGCGCUAAGUCGGGUGUGAAAUUUCGGAGCUUAACUCCGAAACUGCAUUCGAUACUGGCGUGCUUGAGGACUGGAGAGGAGACUGGAAUUCAUGGUGUAGCAGUGAAAUGCGCAGAUAUCAGGAGGAACACCAAUGGCGAAGGCAGCUCGCUGGGACGGUACUGACGCUGAGGCGCGAAAGCGUGGGGAGCAAACAGG
rnacentral:rRNA from 1 species